rnacentral:rRNA from 1 species
GAUGAACGCUGGCGGCGUGCCUAAUACAUGCAAGUAGAACGCUGAAGGAAGGAGCUUUCUCUUUCCGGAUGAGUUGCUAACGGGUGAGUAACGCGUAGGUAACCUGCUUGGUAGCGGGGGAUAACUAUUGGAAACGAUAGCUAAUACCGCAUAACACUAGAUGUUGCAUGAUAUCUACUUACAAGGUGCCUUUGCCCCACUACCAAAUGGACCUGCGUUUUAUUAGCUAGUUGGUGAGGUAACGGCUCACCAAGGCGACGAUACAUAGCCGACCUGAGUGGGUGAUCGGGCAAAAUGGGAAUGGGAAAAGGCCCAGACUCCUUAGGGGAGGAGGAAGUGGGAAAUAUCGGAAAAGGGGGGAAGGCCGAACGAAGAAAGACGGGGUAGUGAAGAAGGGUCUCGGAUUGGAAAGCUCUGUUGUAAGAGAAGAAAGAGUGGGAGAGUGGAAAGUUGACGCUGUGACGGUAUCUUAACAGAAAGCGACGGCUAACUACGUG